UGCAGUCGAACGAUGAGCCCAGCUUGCUGGGUGGAUUAGUGGCGAACGGGUGAGUAACACGUGAGUAACCUGCCCUUAACUCUGGGAUAAGCCUGGGAAACUGGGUCUAAUACCGGAUAGGAGCGCCUACCGCAUGGUGGGUGUUGGAAAGAUUUAUCGGUUUUGGAUGGACUCGCGGCCUAUCAGCUUGUUGGUGAGGUAAUGGCUCACCAAGGCGACGACGGGUAGCCGGCCUGAGAGGGUGACCGGCCACACUGGGACUGAGACACGGCCCAGACUCCUACGGGAGGCAGCAGUGGGGAAUAUUGCACAAUGGGCGCAAGCCUGAUGCAGCGACGCCGCGUGAGGGAUGACGGCCUUCGGGUUGUAAACCUCUUUCAGUAGGGAAGAAGCGAAAGUGACGGUACCUGCAGAAGAAGCACCGGCUAACUACGUGCCAGCAGCCGCGGUAAUACGUAGGGUGCGAGCGUUAUCCGGAAUUAUUGGGCGUAAAGAGCUCGUAGGCGGUUUGUCGCGUCUGUCGUGAAAGUCCGGGGCUUAACCCCGGAUCUGCGGUGGGUACGGGCAGACUAGAGUGCAGUAGGGGAGACUGGAAUUCCUGGUGUAGCGGUGGAAUGCGCAGAUAUCAGGAGGAACACCGAUGGCGAAGGCAGGUCUCUGGGCUGUAACUGACGCUGAGGAGCGAAAGCAUGGGGAGCGAACAGGAUUAGAUACCCUGGUAGUCCAUGCCGUAAACGUUGGGCACUAGGUGUGGGG
rnacentral:rRNA from 1 species